UACGUAGGGUGCAAGCGUUGUCCGGAAUCAUUGGGCGUAAAGGGCGCGUAGGCGGCCUGCUAAGUCGGACGUGAAAUCCCCCGGCUCAACCGGGGAACUGCGUCCGAUACUGGUGGGCUCGAAUCCGGGAGAGGGAUGUGGAAUUCCAGGUGUAGCGGUGAAAUGCGUAGAUAUCUGGAGGAACACCGAUGGCGAAGGCAGUGUUCUGGGCCAGUACUGACGCUGAGGAGCGAAAGCGUGGGGAGCAAACAGG
rnacentral:rRNA from 1 species